CACUAAGCGGGAGGUAAACUCCUUCUAAGACUAAAUAUUACCAUGAGACCGAUAGCGAACAAGUACCGUGAGGGAAAGUUGAAAAGCACUCUGAAUAGAGAGUCAAAAAGUACGUGAAACUGUCUAGGGUUAAGAAAGCAUGAAGUGUCUAAAUAUCUGAAUGGAGAAAUUCAGUAUCAUAUUGUUGUAGUUAUAUUAUAAUGAAGCAUAUGGUGUGCACUUUUCUCCUUGUAAGACACUGCGAUCCAUUAGAACCUUGUGUUAAUAAUGACCAUGAUGUGCAUUAUUAUAUCUAUCAAUGGGCCUGGCAUGGAGCUUACAUAUUUAAUGUCAGUACUGUAUAUUGUUAAGGUGAUAUACAGGAAAGCAAUGUAAACUGCUGGUGACUCGUAUAGAUGUCUGAUGGAUUUUAGGCGACCACAAUGCGACACCUUGUGUGUAACCAGAAAUGGUUUAUUGUAUUGUGCCGGAUCAGCAGUGUAUUUGUUUAGUAAUCUUCAUGA
rnacentral:rRNA from 1 species